GGGCCUGUGGCGCAGCCAGGUAGCGCAUCGGACUUUUAAUCCGGUAGUCGUGGGUUCGAAUCCCGCCAGGCCCG
rnacentral:tRNA from 1 species